GCCAGGCAUUGUGGCGCACACCUGUAAUCCUAGCUACCGGGGAGGCUGAGGCAGGAGGAUGACAAGUUCCAGGUCAGCCUGGCAACUCGGUGAGACACUGUUUCCA
rnacentral:sRNA from 1 species